AGGUCAUCAUGGUGGAUUUUAUGGUGGGAUUUCUACACCUGAGAACUAUCUGAAUUUCCAGGUGGCCUGACUGCUGAAUGCACAAGAGUGCUUCAACAACAGGAAGUCUCCAAGCUGAGGCCAUCAUAGUGGUCCCAGCUGCCUGCAAGAUCUAUGAACUGAUGGAGGUGACCUAGGACCAACUUCCCUCUGGCUGCACCUGCCUAUUUCAUUACUUGCAAUGAAGGGAUCUCCCUUUCCUGCAAAGGCAC